rnacentral:lncRNA from 1 species
AUGAAUAAAAAAUGCACUGGAAGCAAUCAUAUAACGGCGAUCAAGUAAUCGGAGCCAUGACAAUCAAAUUGGAGAAUGAAAAUCAGAAAUUAUGCGGAAGGGAAAAACGAAUUCAAUCUGAUACCAUGUUAGAACCGAAAAACUCCAUUGGGGCUUGGGAAGAACAUAAUCGAGAGAAAGGUUGAAGAAAGGGGAAGAAAUCUUAUUGA